rnacentral:lncRNA from 1 species
CCGGGUCCUCCAGAGUGGAAAGCCGAAGCGUUUCCACGCGGCCAAUCCGGCCGACCGAAAUAGGAUGGUGGUCGGCCCCAGUCUAAUCAGUAUGAAAACCGUCCAAUAAAGAAAUGCAUCUAUGGUAACAUACUCGUAUUUUCUUUCGGUGGUUCCCAUUAUUAUUCGACCUCAAUACGCGGUUGGUUAUCGGCCAGUAAUUUGGGUUAUGUUCCGUGUGAGAGAUGAUUGGCUAUCGGUUAAUAUAUGUAGAAGCGCCACCUCAACCUGUUAUUUCAUCAUAUUGACACGCACGGUCAGAAGGAAUUCUAUACAUUUUCCCCCAUCCUGUAGAUAUAGAUAGGUGGUCACUGGGGUUACCAGCCCAGGAAAUUUCCUUCUCUAAAGCAGCGCUUAUUAAAAUACAGUUGAACUCGGUUAUAACGACAUCGCAAGAACAGAGUAAUAUAUGUCGCUAUAACC